AAGAAGACGAGCUCCUCCACCAGGGAUUCUGGUCCCCAUGUAGGAAUAUAGACAAAUUAAUGUUCCUACGAUCACAGUCUACUUGGCUGGUCUCUGACUUUGGCAGAACCAUUCCAACUGUGCAUGUCCCAUAGGAGAGAACUGAUCUACCAAACUGCCCGGACCAGCCCAGUACCCCUGAUGCAUCUCCCACCAACAAAGACCAUGAAGGGACCACUGGCCUCCCAGAGCCUAUGUGUUGCAGUUUUUGUUCAUCUGUGUCCACCCCCCAUCCCAACUAAAGUGAUUGCUGCAAGAUGAAACAGACCUUAUCUGUGUUGCUCUCUACUGUAAAACCUGUUCUGAAAAGUUCCUGGGACAUAAUAGUUCAAAUAUAUAUUUGAUGUAAGAAUAAAUGAAUGAA